rnacentral:rRNA from 1 species
GAUGAACGCUGGCGGCGUGCCUAAUACAUGCAAGUCGAGCGAACAGACGAGGAGCUUGCUCCUCUGACGUUAGCGGCGGACGGGUGAGUAACACGUGGAUAACCUACCUAUAAGACUGGGAUAACUUCGGGAAACCGGAGCUAAUACCGGAUAAUAUAUUGAACCGCAUGGUUCAAUAGUGAAAGCCGGUUUUGCUGUCACUUAUAGAUGGAUCCGCGCCGCAUUAGCUAGUUGGUAAGGUAACGGCUUACCAAGGCAACGAUGCGUAGCCGACCUGAGAGGGUGAUCGGCCCCACUGGAACUGAGACACGGUCCAGACUCCUACGGGAGGCAGCAGUAGGGAAUCUUCCGCAAUGGGCGAAAGCCUGACGGAGCAACGCCGCGUGAGUGAUGAAGGUCUUCGGAUCGUAAAACUCUGUUAUUAGGGAAGAACAAAUGUGUAAGUAACUAUGCACGUCUUGACGGUACCUAAUCAGAAAGCCACGGCUAACUACGUG